rnacentral:rRNA from 1 species
AAACGACUCUCGGCAACGGAUAUCUCGGCUCUCGCAUCGAUGAAGAACGUAGCGAAAUGCGAUACCUGGUGUGAAUUGCAGAAUCCCGCGAACCAUCGAGUCUUUGAACGCAAGUUGCGCCCGAGGCCAUCCGGCCGAGGGCACGCCUGCCUGGGCGUCACGCCA